CUGCUGUAUUGCAUGCCUUCCUCUCAGUCGCUCACUCGCUAGCUCGGUGCGUUGUUAGACGCGCGCGCUUAGCGCUAGGGCGUUUGCGCGGUGGAAACUCCCGGCCAGGGGAGCCAACCUGCAGCGCAGAUUAAGCUAAGAGGCUCCUGCAACCCACCCACCAGGCCUGCUGAAGUUUUACCGCCCUCACCGAAUGUGAGAGGAAAAGGUUAAUUCUCUUCGUUUUCCAGCCCAGCCUCUCUCCUCUGCUUCUUAGAGAACCUGCUGCGCCUCGCUGUUUUUAUUUGGCUCCUGUUUAUUGCCACCACCUGCGGCGCCCACCGUGACUAAGGGGGUCAAUAAGGCACUGGACAAAAUACACAAAACAGUUUCCUGACUCCACUGCAACUGCCAAGAAGUCUUCUAUACUAUCAUCCUUGGAAUCCUUUUCAAUUGGAUUGGGUGGGGUGGUGGUGGAAGUGUUCCUUAUUUAAAAUGGGAAGCCUCCAUUUAUUUAAUAUGUGUUUGUAAUUUUGUAUUCUGCUAGCCAGAUGGCGAAUAAAAUAUUCAGCAGAGCG